ACGGGUAGCCGGCCUGAGAGGGUGACCGGCCACACUGGGACUGAGACACGGCCCAGACUCCUACGGGAGGCAGCAGUGGGGAAUAUUGCACAAUGGGCGAAAGCCUGAUGCAGCGACGCCGCGUGAGGGAUGACGGCCUUCGGGUUGUAAACCUCUUUCAGCACGGAAGAAGCGAAAGUGACGGUACGUGCAGAAGAAGCGCCGGCUAACUACGUGCCAGCAGCCGCGGUAAUACGUAGGGCGCAAGCGUUGUCCGGAAUUAUUGGGCGUAAAGAGCUCGUAGGCGGUUUGUCGCGUCUGCUGUGAAAGCCCGGGGCUUAACCCCGGGUGUGCAGUGGGUACGGGCAGACUUGAGUGCAGUAGGGGAGACUGGAAUUCCUGGUGUAGCGGUGAAAUGCGCAGAUAUCAGGAGGAACACCGAUGGCGAAGGCAGGUCUCUGGGCUGUUACUGACGCUGAGGAGCGAAAGCAUGGGGAGCGAACAGGAUUAGAUACCCUGGUAGUCCAUGCCGUAAACGUUGGGCACUAGGUG
rnacentral:rRNA from 1 species